rnacentral:rRNA from 1 species
CUAAACCAAAGCUGGCGACCGGCGCACGGGUGAGUAACACGUAUCCAACCUGCCUCAUACUCGGGGAUAGCCUUUCGAAAGAAAGAUUAAUAUCCGAUAGCAUAUAUUUCCCGCAUGGGUUUUAUAUUAAAGAAAUUCGGUAUGAGAUGGGGAUGCGUUCCAUUAGUUUGUUGGGGGGGUAACGGCUCACCAAACCUUCGAUGGAUAGGGGUUCUGAGAGGAAGGUCCCCCACAUUGGAACUGAGACACGGUCCAA